CAACUGCCUUUAGGGGAUAUACUAUGAUCAUGAAAGUAGUUUUCUCAGGAUGAGGCUUAUCCAUUAUAUUUUGGAUGUGCUGACCCUUGCAAUUUCCUCAAUAUGAGAAACUUUACUAUGUCAUUUUUUUUUGUAUUGAGGGACUACAUCAGUUCCACCCCCA
ensembl:snRNA U1 U1 spliceosomal RNA